UUGUAGUAUCUUCCUUGAUACCGGA
rnacentral:miRNA from 1 species